rnacentral:rRNA from 1 species
AAAUAGGAUCGGGAACCUCGGUUCUCGCAUCACUUCUUAGAGGGACUUUGCGUGUCUAACGCAAGGAAGUUUGAGGCAAUAACAGGUCUGUGAUGCCCUUAGAUGUUCUGGGCUGCACGCGCGCUACACUGAUGCAUGCAACGAGUUUUUGACCUUGGCCGGAAGGUCUAGGUAAUCUUUUGAGUAUGCAUCGUGAUGGGGAUAGAUUAUUGCAAUUAUUAAUCUUCAACGAGGAAUGCCUAGUGGGCGCAAGUCAGCAGCUUGUGCCGAUUACGUCCCUGCCCUUUGUACACACCGCCCGUCGCUGCAACCGAUCGAAGGGUCCUGUGAACUCGAUGGACAGCCCAUCCCCUUCUUGGGGUUGGGCUGGAAGUUGCGUAAAUAGAGCCCUUUAAAGGAUGCAAAAGUCGUAACACGGUUUCCGUAGGUGAACCUGCGGAAGGAUCAUUC